GUUUAUAGAGUGGGCCAGCCUUCCCAAAACCCAUUAUACCAACGCUUCGAGCCCUGUACAGCCAGACAGGAUUUCUGAGAUUAACAACUCAAACAGCUGCUUCUCUGGCCUGUCUCCUCCUGCAGAGGUAACCAAGAGAAACAAGAAUUACCAGCAGGAAUGUGAAUGGAGAGUAACAUUCUGAGAAGAACAUUCUGGGUAGAGGAAUUGAAGUCCCACACAACUUAAUGGGGACACUGGCUGCCUUGGCUCUACCAGAUCUCCUGGAAGAGGUGACUUGUUCUAUCUGUUCACACAAUUUGAAGAAACCACUUGCCGUUGAAUGUGGACACAAGUCUUGCUGUGAUUGCCUCUUAUGAAAUUGGAAAGGAAUCUGAUUACAGCACCUGCUUUAAGUAUAAAGAAAUUUGCAAGGGAAGGGACUUCCCUGGAGGUCCAGUGGUUAAGACUCUGCCCUUCCAUUGUAGAGACACGGAUUUGAUCCCUGGUCAGGGAACUAAGAUCCUGCACACUGCAUGGC
ensembl:lncRNA